rnacentral:rRNA from 1 species
GACGUAGGGCGCAAGCGUUGUCCGGAUUUAUUGGGCGUAAAGAGCUCGUAGGCGGCUUGUUGCGUCGUCCGUGAAAACCCGUAGCUCAACUGCGGGCUUGCGGACGAUACGGGCAGGCUGGAGUUCGGUAGGGGAGACUGGAAUUCCUGGUGUAGCGGUGAAAUGCGCAGAUAUCAGGAAGAACACCCGUGGCGAAGGCGGCUUUCUGGGACGGUACUGACGCUGAGACGCGAAAGCGUGGGGAGCGAACAGG